rnacentral:rRNA from 1 species
CUACGGGCGGCUCCAGUGGGGAAUAUUGCGCAAUGGACGAAAGUCUGACGCAGCGACGCCGCGUGGGGGAAGAAGGUUUUCGGAUCGUAAACCCCUGUCAGGAGGGAAGAAACCAUUGGGUUCGAAUAGGGCCCUUUGCUGACGGUACCUCCAGAGGAAGCACCGGCUAACUCCGUGCCAGCAGCCGCGGCAAUACGGAGGGUGCAAGCGUUAAUCGGAAUCACUGGGCGUAAAGCGUGCGUAGGCGGCCUUUCAAGUCAAAUGUGAAAGCCCACGGCUCAACCGUGGAAUUGCAUUCGAAACUGGGAGGCUUGAGUUCGGGAGAGGGUGGCGGAAUUCCAGGUGUAGGAGUGAAAUCCGUAGAUAUCUGGAGGAACACCAGUGGCGAAGGCGGCCACCUGGACCGAUACUGACGCUGAGGUACGAAAGCGUGGGGAGCAAACAGGAUUAGAUACCCCCGUAGUC